rnacentral:rRNA from 1 species
UGGGCAGUUUGACUGGGGCGGUCGCCUCCUAAAGAGUAACGGAGGCGCCCAAAGGUUCCCUCAGAAUGGAUGGAAAUCAUUCGCAGAGUGUAAAGGCACAAGGGAGCUUGACUGCGAGACUGACAAGUCGAGCAGGGACGAAAGUCGGGCUUAGUGAUCCGGUGGUUCCGCAUGGAAGGGCCAUCGCUCAACGGAUAAAAGCUACCCCGGGGAUAACAGGCUUAUCUCCCCCAAGAGUCCACAUCGACGGGGAGG